rnacentral:rRNA from 1 species
CCUACGGGGGGCAGCAGUGGGGAAUAUUGGACAAUGGGGGGAACCCUGAUCCAGCCAUGCCGCGUGUGUGAAGAAGGCCCUCGGGUUGUAAAGCACUUUCAGUGAGGAAGAACGCCUGGUGGUUAAUACCCAUCAGGAAAGACAUCACUCACAGAAGAAGCACCGGCUAACUCCGUGCCAGCAGCCGCGGUAAUACGGAGGGUGCGAGCGUUAAUCGGAAUUACUGGGCGUAAAGCGCGCGUAGGUGGCUUGAUAAGCCGGUUGUGAAAGCCCCGGGCUCAACCUGGGAACGGCAUCCGGAACUGUCAAGCUAGAGUGCAGGAGAGGAAGGUAGAAUUCCCGGUGUAGCGGUGAAAUGCGUAGAGAUCGGGAGGAAUACCAGUGGCGAAGGCGGCCUUCUGGACUGACACUGACACUGAGGUGCGAAAGCGUGGGUAGCAAACAGGAUUAGAUACCCGAGUGGUC